AGCUGGUGCAGCAGAGACUGUUUUCUUUUUUAUCAAAGGCUCGUCAUCUGAAGAAUCAUCCGAAGCUACAACAGAAGAAGAUUGCUGGAUCUGUGCCCGUUUCCACGUGACUGUUUCCCCUUCCUGCCUGGCUUCUUCACGAGCGGCACGUCAUCAUCAGAGCAAGAGCCACUGUUUCCUAAUCAUAGACCGGAUGGGAUGAAUACCAGGAAUUACACCUCACGUUUGGCCUGGUAAAAGCUAUCAUAAAAGUUGGACAGUAUAUUCAGACCCAUUAAACUCCCCAUUUUCUAGUUUGCGUAUCCAGAUUUGACUUUACUGUAAGUGUUUUCCAGUACCUGGCGCCAAUGCAUCAGUUGACUCAGCAAUGUUAUACAACUGUAGCGAACUACACUUUUAACAGAUAAUGAAUGAUUGAAAACUAGGCAUGCAUUUUUUUGGUACAAAUUUGGUAAAUCAUGUCAAAUUGUUUCCCCAGCGUCUAUCUACAGAUAAAUGCAGUAAAUGUUUCCUUCAUACUUUAAAAACUGGACGUCUGUAAAGGCCAGGCACAUCAGGUAAAUGUUAGAGAUUAUGUUUGUAAUGGGAUUACUUUUCAUGGCAUCAACCUUAAAAGGAAAUAAGUUUAAGAAAUGAAAAUGACGAGCUAUGAAGGUUCCUGGGUGGAGUGAAACCAGUUAUGUCACAUGUUAACAGUAUGGGUCUUAAAGCAAUUAACCAUUCAGACAUCCAUAUAUGUGAUUACUAUUGGGAUAUCAGAUAUGUGAUCAUUGUUCUGCACUAAUUACUAACUUGACCAUUAAAGACCAAAGUUGAUCUGAA